rnacentral:rRNA from 1 species
UGGGGAAUCUUGCACAAUGCGCGAAAGCGUGAUGCAGCAACGCCGCGUGCGGGAAGACGGCCUUCGGGUUGUAAACCGCUUUCAGUUGGGACGAAGCCUGGUCGGUGAACAGCCGAUCCAGGUGACGGUACCUUCAGAAGAAGCCCCGGCUAACUACGUGCCAGCAGCCGCGGUAAUACGUAGGGGGCAAGCGUUGUCCGGAAUCAUUGGGCGUAAAGCGCGUGUAGGCGGCUCGAUAAGUCUGCUGUGAAAGUCCAGGGCUCAACCCUGGGAUGCCGGUGGAUACUGUCGAGCUCGAGUCCGGAAGAGGCGAGUGGAAUUCCUGGUGUAGCGGUGAAAUGCGCAGAUAUCAGGAGGAACACCAAUGGCGAAGGCAGCUCGCUGGGACGGUACUGACGCUGAGACGCGAAAGCGUGGGGAGCAAACA